rnacentral:tRNA from 1 species
GCCUGGGUGGCUCAGUCGGUUAAGCGUCUGACUUCAGCUCAGGUCACGAUCUCGCGGUUUGUGAGUUCCAGCCCCACAUCGGGCU